UUUAUUUUGGCAGAUUUAUGCGUCAAAUUUAGAAUUUGAAGAAGAGUAUAACUCAAAUAAAA
rnacentral:tRNA from 1 species